rnacentral:rRNA from 1 species
GACAGAGGUGCCAAGCGUUAGGCGGAAUUACUGGGCGUAAAGCGCGUGUAGGCGGCUAAGUAAGUCGGGCGUGAAAUCCCACGGCUCAACCGUGGAAGUGCACUCGAAACUGCGUAGCUAGAGUCCUGGAGAGGAAGGUGGAAUGCUUGGUGUAGAGGUGAAAUUCGUAGAUAUCAAGCGGAACACCGGUGGCGAAGGCGGCCUUCUGGACAGUGACUGACGCUGAGACGCGAAAGCGUGGGUAGCAAACAGG